rnacentral:tRNA from 1 species
AAGACACUAGUAAAACAUGUUAUUACACUGCCUUGUCGAGGCAGAAUUGUAGGUUAAACUCCUACGUAUCUUG